AGAAAUAAUGGGUAGGUGUGAAGGCUAGACCCAGUUUACUGGAAUUGCUCUGGCAAUGGAGGGGUCCUUGUACACCACAGUCAUGUCUAUUAUGUCCUAUAAUGGAGGAGCCAUCAUGGCCAUGAAGGGGAAGGACUGUGUGGCCAUCGCUGCAGACAGGCACUUUGGGAUCCAGGCCCGGAUGGUGACCACAGACUUCCAGAUCUUUCCCAUGGGUGAUGGGUUGUAAUUGGUCUGGCCGGGCUCGCUACUGAUGUCCAGAUAGUUGCCCAGUGCCUCAAGUUCUAGCUGAACCUGUAUGAGCUGAAGGAAGCUCAGUAGAUCAGAUCUUAUACCCUCAUGAGCCCGGUGGCCAAUCUCUUGUAUGAGAAACAUUUUGGCCCCUACUACACUGAGCCAGUCAUUGCUGGGUUGGACCCAAAGACCCGUAAGCCCUUCAGUUGCUCUCUAGACCUCAUCGGCUGCCCCAUGGUGACUGAUGAUUUUGUGGUCAAUGGUACCUAUGCCAAACAAAUGUACGGAAUGUGUAAGUCCCUCUGGGAGCCCAAUAUGGAUCCAGAACACCUGUUUGAAACCAUCUCCCAUGCCAUGCUCAAUGCUGUAGACUGGGAUGCAGUGUCAGGCAUGGGGGCCAUUGUCCACAUCACCGAGAAGGACAAAAUCACCACCAGGACACUGAAGGCCCAAAUGGACUAACCCUGCUCCCAGAGCCCACUUUUUUUUUUUUUUAAAUAAAAUAGCCUUUUU